rnacentral:rRNA from 1 species
CCUACGGGAGACAGCAGUGGGGGAUAUUGCACAAUGGGGGAAACCCUGAUGCAGCGACGCCGCGUGUGGGAAGACGGUCCUCUGGAUUGUAAACCACUGUCCCCAGGGACGAAGAUGACUGUACCUGGGGAGGAAGCUCCGGCUAACUACGUGCCAGCAGCCGCGGUAAUACGUAGGGAGCGAGCGUUGUCCGGAAUUACUGGGUGAAAAGGGAGCGUAGGCGGGACUGCAAGUUGGGUGUCAAAUCUACCGGCUCAACCGGUAGCCGCACUCAAAACUGCAGUUCUUGAGUGAAGUAGAGGCAGGCGGAAUUCCUAGUGUAGCGGUGAAAUGCGUAGAUAUUAGGAGGAACACCAGUGGCGAAGGCGGCCUGCUGGGCUUUUACUGACGCUGAGGCUCGAAAGUGUGGGGAGCAAACAUGAUUAGAUACCCCUGUAGUC